UGCUGGCUGGGGUUAAACCACAACAGUCCAUUUUGGCGCCCAACGUGGGGACCGAAGGGUUGAGAUAACGACAAACCUGACCAGAGCUUGUUAAAACAAAUUUAUUAGAAGCAUUCAUUAUGUUGAUUUAUGUAUAAGA